UAGGGAUGACAGCUGAGAUGUAUAUAGAAGUAGGUGGGUUGGACGUUCAACAAAGUUCUUUAAGGGGAAAGAUAACUCCAAUGAUAAAUGCAUCCUUUUGCCUUUGUUCUGUCUUCCUUUCUGCAGCUUGAAGCAAUGGAUGUGAUGUUUGGCGCUUCAGUCCCCAUUUUGAUAUUGUGAAAUUCCCCUGAGAAUGCAAGCAAAUGUUGAGAAUGGUGCAACAGAAAGGAAGAACUCGGUCCCUGAUGUAUUUAUGGAGCUACAAUUUUAGAAAGACUCAUCUGAAAGGAAUGUGGAGGUCAGAGAAAAGUGAUGGGAAAGUUACCACAGCCUGCAAAUGAGAAAUGAUGAGAGCCUGACUGGGCCUGAAAGAAAUGAAAGACUUUCCUCAGACCGCAGAUAAAUGAUAUAGGUUGAAAACUUGGCUCUAUAUAAAAAGAAGAAGACCAAUGAAGAAAUAAAUGAAGGUAAGAAAAAUAUUUUAUUAUUUCUACCUGAUCUAAAAACCAGUAAUAGUAACAGCAUAUUGGCUGAUGGUAGCAUA
rnacentral:lncRNA from 1 species